rnacentral:tRNA from 1 species
GCCCAAGUGGCGGAAUGGUAGACGCAGGGGAUUCAAAAUCCCCCGCCAGCAAUGGCGUGAGAGUUCGAGUCUCUCCUUGGGCACCA